UCUAAUAUGGCAGAUUAGUGCAAUGGAUUUAAACCCCACAUAUAAAGUAUUUCUUUUUUUAGAA
rnacentral:tRNA from 1 species